GAUGAACGCUGGCGGCGUGCCUAAUACAUGCAAGUCGAGCGAACGGACGAGAAGCUUGCUUCUCUGAUGUUAGCGGCGGACGGGUGAGUAACACGUGGAUAACCUACCUAUAAGACUGGGAUAACUUCGGGAAACCGGAGCUAAUACCGGAUAAUAUUUUGAACCGCAUGGUUCAAAAGUGAAAGACGGUCUUGCUGUCACUUAUAGAUGGAUACGCGCUGCAUUAGCUAGUUGGUAAGGUAACGGCUUACCAAGGCAACGAUGCAUAGCCGACCUGAGAGGGUGAUCGGCCAAACUGGAACUGAGACACGGUCCAGACUCCUACGGGAGGCAGCAGUAGGGAAUAUUCCGAAAUGGGCGAAAGCAUGACGGAGCAACGCCGCGUGAGUGAUGAAGGUCUUCGGAUCGUAAAACUCUGUUAUUAGGGAAGAACAUAUGUGUAAGUAACUGUGCACAUCUUGACGGUACCUAAUCAGAAAGCCACGGCUAACUACGUG
rnacentral:rRNA from 1 species